GACGAACGCUGGCGGCGUGCCUAAUACAUGCAAGUAGAACGCUGAAGAGAGGAGCUUGCUCUUCUUGGAUGAGUUGCGAACGGGUGAGUAACGCGUAGGUAACCUGCCUUGUAGCGGGGGAUAACUAUUGGAAACGAUAGCUAAUACCGCAUAACAAUGGAUGACACAUGUCAUUUAUUUGAAAGGGGCAAUUGCUCCACUACAAGAUGGACCUGCGUUGUAUUAGCUAGUAGGUGAGGUAACGGCUCACCUAGGCGACGAUACAUAGCCGACCUGAGAGGGUGAUCGGCCACACUGGGACUGAGACACGGCCCAGACUCCUACGGGAGGCAGCAGUAGGGAAUCUUCGGCAAUGGGGGCAACCCUGACCGAGCAACGCCGCGUGAGUGAAGAAGGUUUUCGGAUCGUAAAGCUCUGUUGUAAGUCAAGAACGAGUGUGAGAGUGGAAAGUUCACACUGUGACGGUAGCUUACCAGAAAGGGACGGCUAACUACGUGCCAGCAGCCGCGGUAAUACGUAGGUCCCGAGCGUUGUCCGGAUUUAUUGGGCGUAAGGCGAGCGCAGGCGGUUUGAUAAGUCUGAAGUUAAAGGCUGUGGCUCAACCAUAGUUCGCUUUGGAAACUGUCAAACUUGAGUGCAGAAGGGGAGAGUGGAAUUCCAUGUGUAGCGGUGAAAUGCGUAGAUAUAUGGAGGAACACCGGUGGCGAAAGCGGCUCUCUGGUCUGUAACUGACGCUGAGGCUCGAAAGCGUGGGGAGCGAACAGGAUUAGAUACCCUGGUAGUCCACGCCGUAAACGAUGAGUGCUAGGUGUUGGAUCCUUUCCGGGAUUCAGUGCCGCAGCUAACGCAUUAAGCACUCCGCCUGGGGAGUACGACCGCAAGGUUGAAACUCAAAGGAAUUGACGGGGGCCCGCACAAGCGGUGGAGCAUGUGGUUUAAUUCGAAGCAACGCGAAGAACCUUACCAGGUCUUGACAUCCCGAUGCUAUUUCUAGAGAUAGAAAGUUACUUCGGUACAUCGGUGACAGGUGGUGCAUGGUUGUCGUCAGCUCGUGUCGUGAGAUGUUGGGUUAAGUCCCGCAACGAGCGCAACCCCUAUUGUUAGUUGCCAUCAUUCAGUUGGGCACUCUAGCGAGACUGCCGGUAAUAAACCGGAGGAAGGUGGGGAUGACGUCAAAUCAUCAUGCCCCUUAUGACCUGGGCUACACACGUGCUACAAUGGUUGGUACAACGAGUUGCGAGUCGGUGACGGCAAGCUAAUCUCUUAAAGCCAAUCUCAGUUCGGAUUGUAGGCUGCAACUCGCCUACAUGAAGUCGGAAUCGCUAGUAAUCGCGGAUCAGCACGCCGCGGUGAAUACGAUCCCGGGCCU
rnacentral:rRNA from 1 species